GACGAACGCUGGCGGCGUGCUUAACACAUGCAAGUCGAACGGAAAGGCCCUGCUUUUGUGGGGUGCUCGAGUGGCGAACGGGUGAGUAACACGUGAGUAACCUGCCCUUGACUUUGGGAUAACUUCAGGAAACUGGGGCUAAUACCGGAUAGGAUCUCCUGCUGCAUGUUGGGCGUUGGUAAGUUUCGGCUGUUGGGGAUGGACUCGCGGCUUAUCAGCUUGUUGGUGUGGUAGUGGCUUACCAAGGCUUUGACGGGUAGCCGGCCUGCGAGGGUGACCGGCCACAAUGGGACUAAGAUACGGCGCAGACUCCUACGGGAGGCAGUAGUGGGGAAUAUGGCACAAUGGGGGGAAGCGUGAUGCAGCAACGCCGCGUGCGGGAUGACGGCCUUCGGGUUGUAAACAGAUUUCGCCUGUGACGAAGCGUGAGUGACGGUAAUGGGUAAAGAAGCACCGGCUAACUACGUG
rnacentral:rRNA from 1 species